GUGCCGUCUGGCCAGACUAAGGUCUGUUUUACUUUCCAACUUGUCCGGUGUGUUCCUUCCCGGGUGUUCUUCGCUGCAGUCAGCUUCUUGGAGCGUUUGGUAAGGCCCUCGGUCUUACAUUUUGGAGGCACCGCUGGGAUUCCCGGGUGUGCUUCACUGCAGUCAGCUCCUCAGAGCGUUUGGUAAGGCCCUCGGUCUUACACUGGGAUUGCAGCCAGGUGCCAUUGCACCUGGGAAGCUUUGCCUUUUUUCCCCUUCCUCAUUUAGACCUGGAAGAUGAAAACUGUCUCUCACCUUCAGCAAAAUAAAGCUAUCCAGGAACCACUGCCCCACAUAAGCCCAAACCUAUGUUGAUUUUUUUUUUCUCUUUAGUUUCUUUUAUUUUUAUGACUGAUCCUCCCUCUUAUAUAAAUGCCUUACUAGUUGUAUGACCUUAGGAAAGUAAUUCAGUCUCUGUGUUUUAUGUUUCUUGUCUUGUGAAGUCGCUGUUAAGGAUUAAGUGAAUUAACACACAAUGCCUACAACUUUGGACAUCUCAUUAUUAUUGUUCAAAGGUAGCAUAUUCUAGAGUGCCAUGGCUGAGGUUAGGUUUGGGAUGCGAUUAAGACUUCAAAGGAACAAGUGAUAUGAGACAGCACAGGAAUACAGUAGUCCCCCCUUAUCUGAGAGACACACAUUUCAGGAUCCCAAAUGGAUACUGAAAACUGCAGAAAGUACAAACCAUAUAUAUAAUUUUGUCCUAAAUACACACACCUAUGAUCAAGUUUAACUUACAAAUUAGGCACGGUAAGAUUAAUAGGACAUGUAACAAUAUGACGUAAUAAAAGGUGUAUGAGUGUAGUUUGUCAAAAUAUAUUGUAGAUCUCAGCAACCUCAGCAUAAGAUUUAUUUAUUAAAUCAAGAAGUUUCACUUUUGGAUUUAAGCACUUUAUGGCUUCUCUGGCAUAUCCAAAUUGCCAAUACCACUACACUUGCACUUUGAGGUCAUUAUUAAGGUAAGGGUUACCCAAACACAAGCACUGCAAUACCUUAACAGCUGAUCACUGAGACAUGGACAGGUAGGUAGUAUAUACAACAUGGAUAGACAGCAGGAUGAUUCAUGUGCUGGGUAUUGUAGGGAAAGGAGGGUGGCAGGCAGGAAAAAGAAACUAGGAUCUCAUUAAGCUUUAUUAAGGAAAUCUUACUAAAUGCAGCUUUUGCCUUUGCAGUUAGACUUCAGCAAUUAGAAAGACAAAGGCAAAGAAAGAGAGAGAAACCAGACCUGAGAAGACACCAAGGUAGCACAAUUAACAUAAGAAUUUAGCAGAAAGAGUCCGGGACAAGGGCGGGG
rnacentral:lncRNA from 1 species